UUCUUUUUAGAUUUCCGCAUCAGGAAGCAAGAGCUAUUAUCGGGAAAAUCUGGUUGCGAUAAUACGUGUUUCAAGGUUCAGCAUGAUGGAGGGAGGGUGAAGAAGAAAUUUCCUCAGUAUCAAUCUACACGACUCAUUCUUUGCUCCUUUAACUACCAUAUUUACAAUUAAAAAAACUUAACUUCUUCAGUUUGCUGCUAUACUGUUUGACUGUAUGUUCCAGGAUAGUUUUAUUUUCUAAAUGUAAACAAAAUAAAGUAUUUAAAAAUGCGUACCAAUUUAA